rnacentral:rRNA from 1 species
CAACUCGACUCCAUGAAGUCGGAAUCGCUAGUAAUCGCAGGUCAGAAUACUGCGGUGAAUACGUUCCCGGGCCUUGUACACACCGCCCGUCACACCAUGGGAGUGGGAUGCAAAAGAAGUAGUUAGUUUAACCUUCGGGAGAACGAUUACCACUUUGUGUUUCAUGACUGGGGUGAAGUCGUAACAAGGUAACCCUAGGGGAACCUGGGGU